rnacentral:rRNA from 1 species
UUUUCCUACGGGGCGCAGCAGUGAGGAAUAUUGGUCAAUGGUCGGGAGACUGAACCAGCCAAGCCGCGUGAGGGAUGAAGGUACAGAGUAUCGUAAACCUCUUUUGUCAGGGAACAAAGGCGGGGACGUGUCCCCGGAUGAGUGUACCUGAAGAAAAAGCAUCGGCUAACUCCGUGCCAGCAGCCGCGGUAACACGGAGGAUGCGAGCGUUAUCCGGAUUUAUUGGGUUUAAAGGGUGCGCAGGCGGUCUGGUAAGUCAGCGGGCAAAGCCCGGGGCUCAACCCCGGACCGCCGUUGAAAAUGGG